rnacentral:tRNA from 1 species
GCCCCCUUAGCUCAGUGGACCAGAGCGGGUGCCUUCUAAGCACUAGGCCGCAGGUUCGAAUCCUGCAGGGGGCACCA